rnacentral:lncRNA from 1 species
GAAAAAUCUCCAUCAAAACCCGCCCGCCCAUCUUUUCGAAAAAUCAAUUGAUAUCGCCGCCUGGACAUGGCCAUCGCUGUGGCUUCCCUUCUUCCCAAUCAAACUCCAAUCCUAUCCAAAUCCAGGUGAUAAUUUCUUACUCGGUGAACAUCUCAUCACCGAUCGAACGAAGAAGCUAAGUUAUCUAUCCCUGGCUGAAUUU